UCUGCCACAAUUUAUCUCUCAUCGCCGCUUCGCUCCCUCCUUCACAGCACCGCGCCUAAUAGGCUUCCCUCUCUCCUUGCCCUCUCUUGCCGCCGGAGCUCGACAUGUGAGGCGACGGCCAUUAUGGCUGCGGGGCGAUGGCAUCUUCCAGCGACGGCGCUGCAAGGCAGUGCGGGAUGUUGCAAGGCUGCGGUUCUUCCUUCCUUUUCCCUUCCCCCUUCCUCCCCUCGUUCUUCUUCUUCUCUCUCUCUCACACCGCGUCCCUCUUUCUCUGUUGCCUACAGGAGGCCGACGCCAAACUACAAGCAGCCGCCGC
rnacentral:lncRNA from 1 species